rnacentral:tRNA from 1 species
GUCGCGUUUGGGCACGCCGUAGAGGCCAGCCUGCACUUCCAGCGCAGCGCGGGGGGUGAAAAACGGAUCCAGGUUCAAUUCCUGGGGCAUGACGCC